GAUGAAGAACGUAGCGAAAUGCGAUAAGUAAUGUGAAUUGCAGAAUUCAGUGAAUCAUCGAAUCUUUGAACGCACAUUGCGCCCCUUGGUAUUCCGAGGGGCAUGCCUGUUCGAGCGUCAUUAUAACCCCUCAAGCCCCCGGGUUUGGUGUUGGGGAUCGGCUCUGCCCUUCUGGGCGGUGCCGCCCCCGAAAUACAUUGGCGGUCUCGCUGCAGCCUCCAUUGCGUAGUAGCUAACACCUCGCAACUGGAACGCGGCGCGGCCAUGCCGUAAAACCCCAACUUCUGAAUGUUGACCUCGGAUCAGGUAGGAAUACCCGCUGAACUUAAGCAUAUCAAUAAGCGGAGGA
rnacentral:misc_RNA from 1 species